CCUCCCGCCCACCCCGGAAACAGCAGGCGUGGCCUGGGUCUUGCAGCCCCCAGAUGCCCAGGCCAGUGCCCCACAGGGCCACCUGCUCUCUUAGGAGACUCAGGUCUCACUGCAACUCUGCCCCAGGCCCUCCUCCCUUCCUGCCCUGUGGAGUGUGUCCAGUGUCGGUGCUGGGGCCUGCUCAUUGCUCGGACCCCUGCCCUCUCCAGCCAAGAGCUGCACCUCCCUCCUCUGCAGGCCUUGCUGCCCCAUGUAUCCCCUAGCCUGUCACUCUGUCCUGUGUCCUCUGUCCUGGCAGGUGGCCCUCUUGCCCAACUGUGUCCCUGGGCUCCUGAGAGAGCCUGGUGUCCAGGGCCUGAGCAGUUGCUGGCUCAGUGGGCAGUGCUUGGAGCAGCUGCUGGUGAAGAGUGGCUCUCUGCCUUGGUCCAGCUAGCAAGGGUUCCAGCCCAGAGGCCCCUCAGCUGUCCCCUGCUGCCCCUCCUGCAUCACAGGACAUGCCAUUCCAGUGGCUUUGGCCCACAGACCUCAGUACUGUGCCAUAUUGCCCCCAAACCUGCUGAGACCCCGGGCCUGGGUCCUUGGGAAGCAGCCCCUGCUCCAGGAGUGGGAGGGACGUCUUCUAAUGUCACCUACACUCGUUC
rnacentral:lncRNA from 1 species